GGGGGGGUGCCUAAUACAUGCAAGUCGAGCGAAUGGAUUAAGAGCUUGCUCUUAUGAAGUUAGCGGCGGACGGGUGAGUAACACGUGGGUAACCUGCCCAUAAGACUGGGAUAACUCCGGGAAACCGGGGCUAAUACCGGAUAACAUUUUGAACCGCAUGGUUCGAAAUUGAAAGGCGGCUUCGGCUGUCACUUAUGGAUGGACCCGCGUCGCAUUAGCUAGUUGGUGAGGUAACGGCUCACCAAGGCAACGAUGCGUAGCCGACCUGAGAGGGUGAUCGGCCACACUGGGACUGAGACACGGCCCAGACUCCUACGGGAGGCAGCAGUAGGGAAUCUUCCGCAAUGGACGAAAGUCUGACGGAGCAACGCCGCGUGAGUGAUGAAGGCUUUCGGGUCGUAAAACUCUGUUGUUAGGGAAGAACAAGUGCUAGUUGAAUAAGCUGGCACCUUGACGGUACCUAACCAGAAAGCCACGGCUAACUACGUGCCAGCAGCCGCGGUAAUACGUAGGUGGCAAGCGUUAUCCGGAAUUAUUGGGCGUAAAGCGCGCGCAGGUGGUUUCUUAAGUCUGAUGUGAAAGCCCACGGCUCAACCGUGGAGGGUCAUUGGAAACUGGGAGACUUGAGUGCAGAAGAGGAAAGUGGAAUUCCAUGUGUAGCGGUGAAAUGCGUAGAGAUAUGGAGGAACACCAGUGGCGAAGGCGACUUUCU
rnacentral:rRNA from 1 species